rnacentral:lncRNA from 1 species
UCAGAGGGGUGUGCUGCUGCAACCAGGACGCUGCUCAGUGCCCAGCGAAGAGACAGGAGCUCCCGCCUCUACCCAGAAGCUGGAGGACAGAGAAGCCGGCUAGACUCCAAUACAGUGCUUCUGGAAAGCAGCGCAGAAGGCAAAGAAGUAAAGAUAAGUGGGGAACCAGGGCUCCUGAAGCCAGGAAAGUGAAGACUGGUCCUUUCCCUUCCUUCUGUGCCUGUUGCCCCCUCAAGCCCUCCCCCACCCCUUGGUUCUCUUCCUUCCAUCUCCUUCUGGCUUCAUUUUAGUUGUAUUUUGCCUCAUCCUUCCUCAUCCCUUGCUUCACCCUCCAUAUGCUGAGGGAGAGGCCAAGAAAUGGCAAAAAGACAAAAAGACAAAAAAAAAAAAAGAAAAAAAAGAGGCCUAAGCAGGAUGUGUGGCAUCGGAUAAACCAGGGGUCUUGGCAAGUCACUAAGACUUUCUCUCCCACCCUCUGGGGGAAGGCGUGCAGUGUCGGGAGCAUGAAUAUUAAAUUAUGUGCAUGUACAAAUGUUUGCAGGGAAGAAAGCUAGCUGGGGUAAGCUAGUGUUCCUUAUAUCUUUUUUUUUUUUUUUUUUUAGAAAACGCUCAUUCUUUAAAAAGAUGUUAUGCUUUGGGCAGUUGUGUGGUCACCAUUCCUGUCAACUGCAUCCAUGAGGGGUGCCAGAGAGCACAGAGAGCACAGAAAGGCCAGGCACAUAACCAUUUCUAGAACACACGGUUGAAGCUCAGGUGCAAGGCCAGCGACUCCAUCUUCCUUAACUGCGGUCCCACCACCACGCAAUGCUGAGUUCCCAGCAAUGUUCAGUUAUAUACACGAUCAAUGAGUCGGUUGUGUCAUUGAUUUGCUGCCACCGUUAAAGACACAAGAAAGCCUAGCAUUUCAGCCUUGACCUUGGCCUUCCUCCUACUCAUGGGAAGUCUGCUAUUGUCCCAGCUCCAUGGUGAGUUAUGACAACGUUCAGUGGAAGAAGAGGGCAUCUCUCAUUAAAGUUGUUCAUGCCCAGGUUAUGACUCCCUAGGGGACUAACGGGGCAAAGCUUAAUCCCACUGUGCGCCCCUCAUUAGAUACCCAAAUUCCAGACUGUGCUUAGGAGGAGGCGCCUCCAUAGACCUUAUUCUCAUCAAACGACUGCAGAACCAUUUUUAAGACCCGUGGGUGGAAUUAACUUGAUGCUAGAGCAUUUCUAGCCUUGGGAUUCCUGGGGAUUGGAAGAGCCAAAGGCAGAACAAGGAAGCAUCACAAUGAGAUGGAAGCUCCCAUUGUUUUCCUCUGAAAAAGACGCUUCUCAUCACCUUCUCCCAGUGCUCUUGCCCACACACCCACAUCACCCUGGUACUAAGGCGCUUCCAGUUCACAAGCGUUUCCCCUGCGGAUCCUGCAGGGGUGGGCGGGGGUCCCCUCCCCACCAAAGUCCGCUGCAGCCCUCCUGAUGCCUCAGCAGCUGGUACUUCUUCCUCUGGGCCUCUUUCCCCAGGGGAAGAGGAUUGGCCGUCUCACUGAGUUCACUGGAGGCAAACUUGACAUUCAGGCUAAUAUUUCUCUGACUGCAUGUCUUGUUUACGCAAUGCCACCGCGGAGGGGCCAGCCCCUGGCAUUUCCAUCCUGCGGUAUUUAUGGGCUGUCAUCACAGGAAGUCGGCACUUCCAAGCUCUCCCUCCAUCCCCACACAGGCAGGCUCUGGAGCCCAGCACGGGAGGCGGCUUGAACCAACUCAGAGUCUAGUUCACUCGGAAGUCGUCCAAGUAAAAGGUCAGCGUUUGAGCGCUUCACACCUCUGAGCCCAGACACCCUCCCUCCUGUGUUGUCCUAGAGCCUCGCCCAGCCUGCUGCCCGGGCAGCUGCUUCGGGCUGCUCACCUGUGCUGCAUCAGGCCAUUUCCAAGCUGCUGGAACAGGUAGCUCAGGCUCUGGCUGCUGAGAACAGGCCUGGUGGGGAGCUACCCACCAGCUCCUGUCUUGCGGACCUCACUUCACCUGGGAUGGUUUUUGACCUUUCAAGGUUAGUGACUCCUGAGCAGUUAUAGACAGCUCUGUUAUUGUGGGUUCAGGCCUGAGGAUGGUUUAUCAUCUUGUAAUUCUGAGAAGAAAAGGGACAGGAGAAAGGUAGCUUUGAAUUAACUGUUUUGCCAUAACACACUUUUCAAAAUUAUUUAAGAAACAGAUUGUCACAACUCUCACAAGUUUUAUGUUUUGCAUGUUGUUUUGUUUCAAAUUUUUUUUAAAGCUGUAACGAUGUAGAUGUUUUCUAUGCUUGAAAAUACACGUUAUGGGGUCCCUGAUGGCUUAGCAGGUUAAGGAUCCGGCCUUGUCACUGCUGUGGCAUGGUUUCGAUCCCUGGCCCUGGAACUUCGCAAGCAGGGCCAAAAUAAUACUAAUAAUUAUACUACUACUAAUAACAAUAAUAAUACAUGUUACUUAAUAACAUUUUAUAAAUAUAUCCCUAACUUUCUAUACAAUCUUUAUAACAAUUUUAAUGUCUACCUAAUUCACCGAGUUGCCAUGUAUCACAGAUGACAUAACGUGUACUUGUUGCAUUUUUAGAUUUUUGCUGAAGUGUUUAGUUAAGAAGAUGUCAGAGAAUGCAAUAAAUACUCUGCAGAGGGGGUGUGAGGGGUGACACAGAGAGGGGUUCUCGUUUCCAUUGCCAUGUAAGGGCAACGGGCACCUUGGGGAUGGUUGAAGCGGCUGCCACCAAUCUGCAAGCUCACCCAACUCCCAGGACCCUGUCCUUCCCAGCACAAUGCAGUCGCGUGUGCACCCACACAGACGCGCACACAGACACCCACCGAACACCAGAGGGGCCUUCCCCCCUCUCUGCCCGGCUCCUGGGUCCACUCCAUGGACCACCUGCACGCCACCCCCCAGGCAUGUCUGAUCUCUGGGUCCCAGGUCCUCUCAUGGGCCCAUCCUGCCUCUGAAAGAAUCGCUCUCCAGUCGGAACUCAGAACAGACAUGCAGGGAGCUGCUGUGAAUGACGCGUUUGGCAGCUGCCAUUUUACAGCCUGUCUGAAAAGCGGCACGGGCGUCCCACUCUCAGUCAUUUGGGUCCUCCGUGGAUCACCUCCAAAGUCACACCUCUCCAGGUCUCCACGGUGCCCGGGCCUGUACUCAGGUCUAGGAUGUAAUGAUGUCUCUGGGUUUGAGACGUCAGGACUGCACGAGCCAGGAGCCUCUUGCUGUUCUCAGCCAUCAGCUCUUGAACAUUUCUAAGCGGAUGAACAGGAGGUGAAACGUACAUGGUGUCCUCAUCCGUCUGCAAACCGAACGAAUGUGAUGCAAUUAAUGAUGGCUUCUAAUUGUUCUGCUGUAUAGUAUUCAGCCAUGAAGAGUAAGCAGUAGAGUCUAGUUACAGUGAUAUACUGCUGAUGACUCAGAUAUAUAUUUGUAAAUGAGACCUGACCUCUGAUUCAUAAAACAAAAAAAUAGUUGGAA